rnacentral:rRNA from 1 species
CAGUCGCCACGGGAACACGUAGGGUGCGAGCGUUAAUCGGAAUUACUGGGCGUAAAGCGAGCGCAGACGGUUAUUUAAGCAGGAUGUGAAAUCCCCGGGCUUAACCUGGGAACUGCGCUUGUGACUGCACAGCUAGAGUAUGGCAGAGGGGGGUAGAAUUCCACGUGUAGCAGUGAAAUGCGUAGAGAUGUGGAGGAAUACCGAUGGCGAAGGCAGCCCCCUGGGCCAAUACUGACGCUCAUGCACGAAAGCGUGGGGAGCAAACAGGAUUAGAUACCCGAGUAGUCCCUGUCUCUUAUAU